UACAGAGGGUGCGAGCGUUAAUCGGAAUUACUGGGCGUAAAGCGUGCGUAGACGGUAGCGUAAGUCAGAUGUGAAAGCCCCGGGCUCAACCUGGGAACUGCAUUUGAGACUGCUCUGCUCGGGUGCGGAAGAGGGAAGCGGAAUUUCCGGUGUAGCGGUGAAAUGCGUAGAUAUCUGGAGGAACACCGGUGGCGAAGGCGGCAUCCUGGACCAACACUGGCGCUGAUGAGCGAAAGCCAGGGGAGCAAACGGG
rnacentral:rRNA from 1 species